UUUCCGUAGGUGAACCUGGGGAAGGAUCAUUAUUGUAUAACCGAGGUGCGAGGGCUGUCGCUGACCCGAAAGGUCGUGCACGCCCGAGUGCCCUCACACACAUCCAUCUCACCCCUAUGUGCACCACCGCGUGGGUCCCCCUUUGGCUUGUUCGGAGGGGGGCUUGCGUUUUCACACAAACUUUGUAUGCAGUGUAGAAUGUAUUUUUUGUUUUUGCGAUCACGCAAUCAAUACAACUUUCAACAACGGAUCUCUUGGCUCUC
rnacentral:misc_RNA from 1 species